UUUUUUGGUGACAGACGAGAAAUUUUCGUUUCCACUGUGGCCUUGUAUAUGUUUCAGAACCAGGGUACAAAACCUUCUUCAACAGAUGGAAUCCAGACCAGUGAAGAUUACAGAUUCUAUGCUAUAUCAACUGGGUUCAGUGAAUUGAGUAUCAAGGACAAGACAUUAAAUUAAAUCAAAACUCAGGGGGUUUGUCUUAAUGUUUUUCCUGAUAUUUUUUGGCGAACGUUAAAACAUAAUUU